rnacentral:tRNA from 1 species
GGGGGUAUAGCUCAGUUGGUAGAGUGCUUGCCUUGCAUGCAUAAGGCCCUGGGUUCAAUCCCCAGCAUCACAA